rnacentral:rRNA from 1 species
AUACGGAGGAUGCGAGCGUUAUCCGGAUUUAUUGGGUUUAAAGGGAGCGUAGGCGGGAGCUUAAGUCAGCGGUUAAAUGGUGCGGCUCAACCGUGCCCUGCCGUUGAAACUGGGUUUCUUGAGAGUGCAAGAGGCGGAUGGAAUUCAUGGUGUAGCGGUGAAAUGCUUAGAUAUCAUGAAGAACUCCGAUUGCGAAGGCAGUCCGCUGGGGCACGUCUGACGCUGAUGCUCGAAGGUGCGGGUAUCAAACAGGAUUAGAUACCCUGGUAGUCCGCACGGUAAACGAUGAUUACCCGCUGUCGGCGGUAGACAGUCGGCGGCCAAGCGAAAGCGAUAAGUAAUCCACCUGGGGAGUACGCCGGCAACGGUGAAACUCAAAUGAAUUGGCGGGG